UACGUAGGGGGCUAGCGUUGUCCGGAAUCAUUGGGCGUAAAGAGCGCGUAGGCGGCCAGAUAAGUCCGGUGUGAAAGUCAAAGGCUCAACCUUUGAAUGCCGCUGGAAACUGUCUGGCUAGAGUCCGGGAGGGGCGUGGAAUUCCUGGUGUAGCGGUGAAAUGCGUAGAGAUCAGGAGGAACACCCGUGGCGAAGGCGGCGCCCUGGUCCGUUACUGACGCUGAGACGCGAAAGCGCGGGGAGCGAACGGG
rnacentral:rRNA from 1 species